rnacentral:tRNA from 1 species
CUAGGUCGAGCGCCAGCUUGCGGCCGCCGCUGGAGACGCCGGUGAGCGCGACCGUGCCGUUCGGCCCGACCUGGUC